rnacentral:misc_RNA from 1 species
GAAAUGCGAUAAGUAGUGUGAAUUGCAGAAUUCAGUGAAUCAUCGAAUCUUUGAACGCACAUUGCGCCCCUUGGUAUUCCAUGGGGCAUGCCUGUUCGAGCGUCAUUUGUACCCUCAAGCACUGCUUGGUGUUGGGUGUUUGUCCCUCUCAGUAGGGACUCGCCUUAAAACUAUUGGCAGCCGGUGUUUUUGUUUCGGAGCGCAGCACAUUUUGCGCCUCUUCCCAUGAACACUGGCGUCCAUGAAGCCCAUAUUUUUCAACUUUUGACCUCGGAUCAGGUAGGGAUACCCGCUGAACUUAA